rnacentral:tRNA from 1 species
UCCCUUGUAGCUCAGUCGGUUAAAGAAUCUGCCUGCAAUACAGGAGACCCAGGUUCGAUCCCUGGAUUGGGAA